rnacentral:rRNA from 1 species
AUUGAACGCUAGCGGGAUGCUUUACACAUGCAAGUCGAACGGUAGCACGAAGAAAGCUUGCUUUCUUUGGUGACGAGUGGCGAACGGGUGAGUAAUGUAUCGGAACGUACCCAGUAGCGGGGGAUAACUACGCGAAAGCGUGGCUAAUACCGCAUACGCACUACGGGGGAAAGGGGGGGAUCGCAAGACCUCUCACUAUUGGAGCGGCCGCUGUCCGAUUAGCUAGUUGGUAAGGUAAAAGCCUACCAAGGCAACGAUCGGUAGCUGGUCUGAGAGGAGGACCGGCCACACUGGGACUGAGCAACGGCCCAGACUCCUACGGGAGGCAGCAGUGGGGAAGUUUGGACAAGGGGGGCAACCCUGAUCCAGCCAUGCCGCGUGCGGGAAGGAGGCGUUCGGGAUGUAAACCGCUUUCGGCCGGAACGAAAUCGCCGGGGAGAACAUCUCCGGUGGAUGACGGUACCGGAAGAAGAAGCACCGGCUAAUUACGUGCCAGCAGCCGCGGUAACAC